UUUUAUCUCUCAUUGUGCUCACGUUUCUGUUUUCUCUUUUUUCUUUCCUUUCUCUCUCUCUCUCUCUCUCUCUUUGCGUGUAGACACGAAAGAAGGUUGCAGACGCCGAA
rnacentral:ribozyme from 11 species